CCCUUAGAUGUUCUGGGCCGCACGCGCGCUACACUGACGAAUGCAACGAGCUUAUAACCUUGGCCGAAAGGUCUGGGUAAUCUCCAAAUUUCGUCGUGAUGGGGAUAGAUUAUUGCAAUUAUUAAUCUUCAACGAGGAAUGCCUAGUAAGCGCAAGUCAUCAGCUUGCGUUGAUUACGUCCCUGCCCUUUGUACACACCGCCCGUCGCUCCUACCGAUCGAAUGGUCCGGUGAAGCGUUCGGACCGUGGCCUUUGGACGGUUCGCCGUCUGUUGGCUGCGGGAAGUUCGUUAAACCUUAUCAUUUAGAGGAAGGAGAANUCGUAACA
rnacentral:rRNA from 1 species